UGCCGGAUCCCAGUCACUGCUCUGUGCA
rnacentral:piRNA from 1 species